rnacentral:rRNA from 1 species
GACGAACGCUGGCGGCGUGCUUAACACAUGCAAGUCGAACGAAGUGGCGAACGGGUGAGUAACGCGUAAUCAACCUGCCCUUCAGAGGGGGAUAACAGUUGGAAACGACUGCUAAUACCGCAUACUGAAGGCGGGGAUUGCGUCUGAUUAGCUAGUUGGAGGGGUAACGGCCCACCAAGGCGAUGAUCAGUAGCCGGGCUGAGAGGAUGAACGGCGACAUUGGGACUGAGACACGGCCCAGACUCAGACGGGAGGCAGCAGUGGGGAAGCGUCCGCAAUGGACGAAAGUCUGACGAAGCAACGCCGCGUGAGUGAGGACGGCCUUCGGGUUGUAAAGCUCUGUUAAUCGGGACGCGGUACCGGAAUAGAAAGCCACGGCUAACUACGUGCCAGCCGCCGCGGUAAUAC